UACGAAGGGGGCUAGCGUUGCUCGGAAUCACUGGGCGUAAAGCGCACGUAGGCGGCCUCUUCAGUCGGUGGUGAAAUCCUGGAGCUCAACUCCAGAACUGCCUUCGAUACUGAGAGUCUCGAGUCCGGGAGAGGUGAGUGGAACUGCGAGUGUAGAGGUGAAAUUCGUAGAUAUUCGCAAGAACACCAGUGGCGAAGGCGGCGCACUGGCCCGGUACUGACGCUGAGGUGCGAAAGCGUGGGGAGCAAACAGG
rnacentral:rRNA from 1 species